GACGAACGCUGGCGGCGUGCCUAAUACAUGCAAGUCGAGCGCAGGAAACUGACGGAACUCUUCGGAGGGAAGGCAGUGGAAUGAGCGGCGGACGGGUGAGUAACACGUAAGGAACCUGCCUCAAGGAUUGGGAUAACUCCGAGAAAUCGGAGCUAAUACCGGAUAGUUCAACGGACCGCAUGGUCCGCUGAUGAAAGGCGCUCCGGCGUCACCUUGAGAUGGCCUUGCGGUGCAUUAGCUAGUUGGUGGGGUAACGGCCCACCAAGGCGACGAUGCAUAGCCGACCUGAGAGGGUGAUCGGCCACACUGGGACUGAGACACGGCCCAGACUCCUACGGGAGGCAGCAGUGGGGAAUCUUCCGCAAUGGACGAAAGUCUGACGGAGCGACGCCGCGUGGGUGAAGAAGGCCUUAGGGUCGUAAAGCCCUGUCAUUAGGGACGAAUGGUAGGAGGAGUAAUAUGCUUUCUAUUUGACGGUACCUAAGGAGGAAGCCCCGGCUAACUAUGUGCCAGCCGCCGCCGUAACAC
rnacentral:rRNA from 1 species